rnacentral:lncRNA from 1 species
GUCACCACUGUCCCUGCCCUACAGUUUACACUUUUUGUUGCACUGUAAAAUAUCGUUGUAUCAUAAAUACAUUUGUGUUAAACAGACGUCCUUUUUUUUUCUUUUUUAGAGAUGGAGUCUCGCACUGUCACCCAGCCUGGAGUGCAGUGGCACAGUCUCCGCUCACUGCAACCUCCCCCUCCUGGGUUCAAGCAAUUCUCCUGCCUCAGCCUCCCGAGCAGCUGAUUAUAGGCAUACGCUGCCAUGCCCGGCUAAGUUUUUGUAUUUUAGUAGAAAUGGGGUUUCACCAUGUUGCCCAGGCUGGCCUCGAACUCCUGAGCUCAGGCAAUCCAUCUGCCUCGACCUCCCAAAGUGCUAGGAUUACAGGCGUGAGCCACCGUGCCUGGCCCCUUUUUUUAAUUUAAUAUUGUUUCCAAGGUUCAUCCGUGUUGUGGGGGCAUAGAUCAUCCUUUUGCUGAUGUAUAAUAUUCCAUGUGUGACUAUAUCACUGAGUGGUUCCAGCUUUUUGCUACUAUGAGCUAUGCUGAUAUGAACAUUUUUGAUGGCUCCUGGUGCCCAUAUGCAAGAAUUUCACUUGGAUGUGUCUUUUUUUUUCUUUCUUAAACAUUCAGUUGGUGCCAAGCUUGGGUAUAUCUUAAGGACUGGGGUUCUCAGAGAUCCUGCCGUCCUCAGGACACUGGCUCUGCCUUCCAAUUAGCUCCUGUCACUGUAGCGAGAUGUUUGCCACAGACCCAGGCAACACAUCCAUGGCCGACCGUGCCCAGCAGCAGAAGAGGAGCGUGUCUCCUCCUCCCUUUGAUGAAGGAGCAAACCUUUCCCUGGAGCCUCAGGUAGAUGAUCUUGAACUCUAAUUGGCCAGGAGUGGGUAACAGGUUAUUUCUCAAACAUAUUACUGACAAAGAGAAUGGGAUGACCAUAAUGACUCCAGCCAAUCAGGAUUCUCUUGUGAAGAUACGGGGCGGCUGUAGGUGGGCACAGGGACCAGAACAAGAUCAGAGCUCUGCAGGAAGGGGGCAAAGGUUGGGUGGGCAAUUGCAGCUGACAAUGUCUUCUCCACCUCCAUCCCCCGCCAUUCCCCUCUACCUGCAGAAAGCUUCUUCCAGACACCUGUGACUCUGCCUGAGGCUUUUCUCCACUUGCAUUUUUGGCCCACGCAGAAGAAGCCAGAAGUGCUACAGAGUUAGUGCCUCUAGAAGCCACGUUUUCUGAGAGGUGGUGGAUAAUACCCAGCUUCUGAGAGGUGGUGGAUAAUACCCAGCUUCUGAGAGGUGAUACCCAGCUUCUGAGGGGCGGUGGGUGACACCCAGCUUCUGAGAGGCGGUGGGUGACACCCCGCUUCUGAGAGGUGGUGGGUGAUACCCAGCUUCUGAGAGGUGGUGGUCAGCUUCUGAGAGGUGGUGGGUGAUACCCAGCUUCUGAGAGGUGGUGGGUGAUACCCAGCUGCUGAGAGGUGGUGGUCAGCUUCUGAGAGGUGGUGGGUGACACCCAGCUUCUGAGAAGCUUCGUUGCCCCUCACUUGGGAUCACUGGCAUGUUUUGGCACCGCCUCCCAGAGUCCUCCCAGAGGACUGAGCUGUGGUUGAGCACAGAGGUAGCUGGCAGGAUAAUGAAAACUUUAUUAACUGUCCUGCCUUCCCUGUCUCACUUGCCCACUCCUCCACCCGUGUUUCCUAAGACCCUCUCGCAGAUAAACUCUGCACUCAAUUCCUAGUCUUAGAGUUUGCAUUUGGGGGAACUCAAACAAACACAACAACCAACACAGCAGCCAACAGUCCCUGUGCCAGGGAUGUGUGAGCAAGAUGGGAGACUGGGUUGGAUGCUGGAUAGAUGGGCUGUUGGCUAAGGAUAGAAAAUUAGAAGUCAUCAGCAUGUAGGACAUGAUUGCAGCUGUGAAUGUAGAUGAGAAUACCUUAAUAUACAGACAGAGCUUCAAGAACAGAGUCCUUAGGCCAAGCUCGGAAAACACCAACAUUCAGAGGCUUCUCGACAUUCCCUUUAGAAGGGAAGGUUUAUGUGCAAAGGAGGCGGAAUGGCCUAGAAUCACGAGGAUGGUGUCCCAAAAGCCGGGCAGAUACAACAUUUCAAGAAGGAAAGAGUGGUCAGGAGUGUCAAAUGUUGCUGGCAGGUCAGGGACAACAAGGACAAAGGUUGUCCACUGGAUUCGAUGACUCGGAAGGACACUGGUGACGCUCGAUGGCUCGGAAGGACACUGGUGACGCUCGAUGACUCGGAAGGACACUGGUGACGCUCGAUGGCUCGGAAGGACACUGGUGACGCUCGAUGGCUCGGAAGGACACUGGUGACGCUCGAUGGCUCGGAAGGACACUGGUGACGCUCGAUGGCUCGGAAGGACAGUGGUGACGCUCGAUGGCUCGGAAGGACACUGGUGACGCUCGAUGGCUCGGAAGGACACUGGUGACGCUCGAUGGCUCGGAAGGACAGUGGUGACGCUCGAUGGCUCGGAAGGACAGUGGUGACGCUCGAUGGCUCGGAAGGACAGUGGUGACGCUCGAUGGCUCGGAAGGACAGUGGUGACGCUCGAUGGCUCGGAAGGACACUGGUGACGCUCGAUGGCUCGGAAGGACACUGGUGACGCUCGAUGGCUCGGAAGGACACUGGUGACGCUCGAUGGCUCGGAAGGACAGUGGUGACGCUCGAUGGCUCGGAAGGACAGUGG